ACAUAUUCUGCGCUGAGGGGGAUGAGAAGCCCCGACCGGGGUUCGACAAAACGGCCCGCCGUUUUGCAUGGCCGUCAGGCCACCCGCAGGGCGAGCGCAGCGAGUGAAUCCCCCUUUCACCGCCA
rfam:Pantoea ananatis LMG 20103, complete genome.